AUUGAACGCUGGCGGCAUGCCUAACACAUGCAAGUCGAGCGGAUCAAGGGCGCUUGCUGCUGGACUCAGCGGCGGACGGGUGAGUAAUGCCUAGGAAUCUGCCUGGUAGUGGGGGAUAACGUCCGGAAACGGGCGCUAAUACCGCAUACGUCCUGAGGGAGAAAGUGGGGGAUCUUCGGACCUCACGCUAUCAGAUGAGCCUAGGUCGGAUUAGCUAGUUGGUGGGGUAAAGGCCUACCAAGGCGACGAUCCGUAACUGGUCCGAGAGGAUGAUCAGUCACACGGGAACUGAGACACGGUACCGACUCCGACGGGAGGCAGCGGUGGGGAAUAUUGGGGAAGGGGCGAAAGGCUGAUCCAGGCAUGCCGCGUGAGUGAAGAAGGUCUUCGGAUUGUAAAGCAAUUUAAGCUGGGGGGAAGGGAAGUAAUUUAAUACCUUGCUGUAUUGACGUUACCAACAGAAUAAGCACCGGCUAACUCCGUG
rnacentral:rRNA from 1 species